rnacentral:rRNA from 1 species
GCACAAGCGGUGGAGCAUGUGGUUUAAUUCGAUGCAACGCGAAGAACCUUACCUACCCUUGACAUGUCAGGAAUCCUGGUUAAGCGCCGGGAGUGCCGAAAGGAACCUGAACACAGGUGCUGCAUGGCUGUCGUCAGCUCGUGUCGUGAGAUGUUGGGUUAAGUCCCGUAACGAGCGCAACCCUUGUCCUUCGUUGCCACCCGCAAGGGGGAACUCGAAGGAGACUGCCGGUGAUAAACCGGAGGAAGGUGGGGAUGACGUCAAGUCCUCAUGGCCUUUAUGUCCAGGGCUACACACGUGCUACAAUGGUCGGUACAAAACGUCGCAAACCCGCGAGGGGGAGCUAAUCGGAAAAAGCCGACCUCAGUUCGGAUUGGAGUCUGCAACUCGACUCCAUGAAGCUGGAAUCGCUAGUAAUCGCGGAUCAGAACGCCGCGGUGAAUACGUUCCCGGGC